CGACAGGAGAGCUCGAGGGAACGGAUUUGAAAUGCGGGAACUACAAAGACCGAGUGCGGAUUGAGAGCUGGAAAAAAAACCCAUGAGCAUUGAUAGGGCUGGCGGGGGAGUCGGGAGGCUUUAUGAAUUCACGGUCGCUGCCCUAAACCCUCAAUAAGGAACCAUCGAUCCAACCAAAGCUUCGGCCAUUUCUCCGGAAGAUGUUAGAAGAGGAGGGGAAACUCAAGGGAGAUGAGAAAUUCAAACCAAACAAGAUAACAAAAUGUGAAAGUCACUUGUUUCACCAAGACCUGAAUAUCACCAGCCUUUGAAUAUACCAGAAUCUAUUGUGACCCUCAGUUGCCUGUGGAGAAGAUGAUGUUUGACCUUCUUGAACUGCUGCAGUCCAUGUGGUGAAGGUGCUCCCACAAUGCUGUUAGGUCAUUCAUCCGGGCGUGCGGCUUCUGUAAACAUGGCGGUC